CCACAACCAGGGAUAUUUAAUAUUCUUUUUAUGUUGAAUGAAAUGUGCUGAAAUACUGUAACAUAAGAAAACAGCUUUAGUUAAUAAACUAGCUUAUUAAAAUCAAGGGUUUCACUUUGGACUUAAAAUGAUGCCACUUGUAUAUGACACUUUUAAGGCCUCUGCCUCAAAAAUCAGCUUCCUUAUAAGUCUGUUUGGAAACAAGUUUUAAGGAUUGAAUCUUUUAGAAAUUAUCAGGAACGUUCUUUUGAGUUCUCAGCAGGCAUCUCUCCUGGAGAGGAAUCCAUUUGAGACAACUUUAAAGCAGCCUCCAACUCAGGUAGAGAUCCGAAAUUUACACAUGUAUCCAGGAUAGGUGACUGACACUCAUGGAUGAUCCCUGGGUCAGUCUCUGACCUCCAGUCCAACUUAUCUUCCUAAAAGUCCCUGUGCAUUUUCUUCUGUCCCUUCCUUCUGUGAGGAGUGUUCCUGUAAUCAGCUGUCCUGAGGUACCUAGGACCCACAGCUCACAUAUUUUUAGCAUGCUAGGCUAAUAAAUAUGUGUGUUUGAAUAUUAAUUAUCUUUUCACAUUUUCCUUUGAGCAAAGCAGUACUCUAUAAUAUACUCAAGUGAAAUCAGAUAAAGGCUUAGUUCGUGGCCAGGCACAGUGGCUCAUGCCUGUAAUCCCAGCACUUUGGGAGGCCAAGGCAGGUGGAUCGCUUGAGGUCAGGAGUUCAAGAGCAGUCUGGCCAACAUGGCAAAAUCCCAUCUCUACUGAAAAUACAAAAAUUAGCCAGGCAUGGUGGCUCAUGCCUGUAAGUCUGGCUACUCGGGAGGCUGAGACAGGAGAAUCACUUGAACCUGGGAGGUGGAGGCUCCAAGAUCAUGCCACUGCACUGCAGCCUGGGCAACAGAGUGAGACUCUCUUUAAAAAAAAAAAAAAAAAAAAAAAAAAAAAAAACAGAUAAAUGCUUAGUUCACCUUUCGGCCCCUCUUUUUUCAAUAUGACACAUUAACAUCACAGAUGACUUUUCUUGCUUCCCUAUUAUCCUUGAGGGCCCUUAUCUUACAAGGAGACUGUCAGACAGCUCUGGUUAAGGGGGACCAAUGAGGCCAAGGUUCCAAAUACAAGUCUCAGAUGGAUCAAACAGCUUCUCUCUACCCCAUGGGCACAAACUGCAUCUGAACUAUUUUUACUCACAAUGCUUCUGACACCAAAUAUGGGGGCGGGGGGGGUGGUGGGUUCUCACACCAACCAGUUCUCCAACUCUCCAGAUACCAAAUGAGUGUCCCACAAUUCACUUCAAUUCUGACAAUAACUACCCAGAGGUAGUAUCAGACUCUACAGGCUUAAGGGUUCAGUACCACAAAACUACCCCCACUUCCAGACACAAGUCAC
rnacentral:lncRNA from 1 species